CAUGCAAGUCGAGCGGCAGCGCGAGUAGUUUACUACUUGGCGGCGAGCGGCGGACGGCUGAGUAACGCGUGGGAAUAUGCCCCAAAGUGAGGAAUAACUGCCCGAAAGGGUAGCUAACACCGCAUAUGAUCUUCGGAUUAAAGGAUUUAUCCGCUUUGGGAGUAGCCCGCGUACGAUUAGAUAGUUGGUGAGGUAAUGGCUCACCAAGUCGACGAUCGUUAGCUGGUCUGAGAGGAUGACCAGCCAGACUGGAACUGAGACACGGUCCAGACUCCUACGGGAGGCAGCAGUGAGGAAUCUUCCACAAUGGGCGAAAGCCUGAUGGAGCAACGCUGCGUGCAGGAUGAAGGCCUUCGGGUCGUAAACUGCUUUUAUAAGUGAAGAAUAUGACGGUAACUUAUGAAUAAGGAUCGGCUAACUACGUGCCAGCAGCCGCGGUCAUACGUAGGAUCCGAGCGUUAUCCGGAGUGACUGGGCGUAAAGAGUUGCGUAGGUGGUUAGUAAAGCGAAUAGUGAAAUCUGGCGGCUCAACCGUACAGGCUAUUAUUCGAACUCACUAACUCGAGAAUGGUAGAGGUAACUGGAAUUUCUAGUGUAGGAGUGAAAUCCGUAGAUAUUAGAANGAACACCAAUGGCGUANGCAGGUUACUGGACCAUUUCUGACACUGA
rnacentral:rRNA from 1 species